CAGAACAGAAAACAGCCAUUCUGCCCUACAAAGGGCAAAACUGUACUAACGAUAGCACAAAACCCAUUUCAGUUUGCAGAGCAAGGCAUUUAGUGGUAGCAUCAGGCCAUUCUUAUCAAGUGACCGAAUCAUGCAUGCCUAAGCAGUAAUUAGUUUAUACAAAACAUGACUCAAAUAAUAUGGUACAAACACACAGUGUCAUGUGUGAGCCUUUCCAACUGCACUAAGCUGAUUAAACUUCUGAAAAAAAGAUUAAAACAGCAUUUAAACUUUAGACAUUUUAUCUUUUUUUCCCCCUCAGCAUUUUACUUGUCUUUCACUUCCUCAGGAUUGUCUCGAUGAUUUUUUUUUUGGUUUUUUUUGUUGUCCCGUUUGGAUCUAUAGCCAUCAGAAUUGUUGUCUUAAGGCCAAGAAAGAUGCCAAGCGGAUUUAUUUUACCAUGAUGAUCCACUUGAUGGAGAUGAUGAAGCAAUUAUCAUCUCCAUCAUACUUGUUAGAUGAGAGAAGGCAAGGAGUUGCAGAAAAGGGUGCUGGGUAGGAGUGCUGUAGAUGUGAUGGUGCAGGAUAAUGGACAGGUGGAUGUGACAGUGGAGUAGACUGUCAACAUCUGAAGAGUUGACUAUAAGUCUUGGCUUCUUUGCUUUUGACUUCGUCUCCUUAUCAGUGAUUAUGAAGCGAUAUUGUUUGAGUGGCGACACUUAUCCACAUACGUUCUAUAGAUUGGCAUCUUGCAGCAUCACAGCAGUAGCUGGAGGCUGCGGUGAAGCAGGAGGAAGAGGCUGCACUAGUAAAAGAUGAGUAAAGAUCACAGGAAUUGUAGAUGCAGAGGGCUGUAAAGGCACAGCUUCAGAUGUUAAUAUAGUUGAUACAGAAGAGUCCACCUGUUCUUGUUGUGCUGCAUGCUAAGCCUGAUGUAUGUGUAGGUGAAUCCCUUGUAGCUGUUGUUGGACUGUGAACCACAACAAGGUAACUGCACGCUAGUUGAGGGAGACAACUGUAAUGUGGCUAAAAUGCAGCUUUUGCAGCAUUUUUCGCUUUAAUGAUAGCUGGAACAAACAGUUUUUUCCUCCUCUUAGAUUACACUUACUGUAGCUCAGCAGCACCUUUAUCUUCUCCUCAUCCUCUUAAUGAUAACAGCUCUCAUUUUCUUCAGUAUCACUGAACACAGCAACUCUCAGUGUGAACAAUGUGUAAUAUAACCUCUCUGCUCUGUGUUGUUUCCUC